GUGCCAGCAGCCGCGGUAAUACGAAGGGUGCAAGCGUUAUCCGGAUUCAUUGGGUUUAAAGGGUGCGUAGGCGGGACGAUAAGUCAGUGGUGAAAUCCUGCAGCUUAACUGUAGAAUUGCCAUUGAUACUGUCGUUCUUGAGUACGCUCGACGUGGGCGGAAUGUGCCGUGUAGCGGUGAAAUGCUUAGAUAUGGCACAGAACACCGAUCGCGAAGGCAGCUCACGAGGGCGAAACUGACGCUGAGGCACGAAAGCGUGGGGAUCGAACAGGAUUAGAAACCCUGGUAGUCC
rnacentral:rRNA from 1 species